rnacentral:tRNA from 1 species
CCUGGUGGCUCAGACGGUAAAGCGUCUGCCUACUAUGCGGAAGACCUGGGUUCAAUCCCUGGGUCAGGA